rnacentral:misc_RNA from 1 species
GAUGAAGAACGCAGCGAAAUGCGAUAAUUAAUGUGAAUUGCAGAAUUCAGUGAAUCAUCGAGUCUUUGAACGCACAUUGCGCCUCAUGUUAUUCCGUGAGGCAUGCCUGUCUGAGCGUCAGCUACACCACUCAAGCGUUGCUUCGGUGCUCCGUCUUGGAAUAUUUCUGGGAAGCGGUUGGCUUGUUUUGCUGCUCCCGGUAAAAGUAUGGAUGGUCAGGUUGUCCCCCUAUGCCAAACGUUGUAUGAUCUAGGUCAGUUCAUUUGGCUGAGAGACUUCUUGAUGUUCCUCGAACCCACAGUGUAUGCUACUGUACAUUUUCUGACUUGACCUCAGAUCAGGUAGGGAUACCCGCUGAACUUAAGCAUAUCAAUAAGCGGAGGA